rnacentral:lncRNA from 1 species
CAAUCUUGGAUUAACAUCAAUUGGAUCACUUUGAAUUAGAGAGCAUGUUAAAUGUAAUUAAAGUGAUUUGUAGUUAGUUAUGGAUGUUAAAAUACAUUUAGAAAUAGUUAAGAAGGUUAGAUUAUGUUUUGACAAUUACUACUCAAUUCCAUUUUCUAAACAUUCUAUUUUCUUCUCUCUUCUUCUCAAAUUCAUUUCUUCUCAAUUAUACAACUUGUUCUAAAAACCGGUGUGACGGAGAAAUGAAAUGUGUUUGGUGUUGGUGAUGGAGGAUUGAGGAAGGGUUGUAUUGUUUUUUCAAGUUUUUAUUUAUUUAUUUAUUUUUGGUUUUGUAACAAGGGGCUUGGAAAUGGAUUAAUUCAAGUCAAAUGAAAAUCAAUCACAUACAUUCCAUUCAUUUGUUUUAAAAUUUAAGUUUGAUAUAGUUAAUAGAGUUUAGAUGACUAAUUUUAAUUGGUCUUGGAAACAUACCCAUAAUUUUUUAAAGACAACAUUAGUGUCUCACCAAAAAAAAAUAUUACAAAUUUUAGGUAAAAUAAAAAUAUAAGUAAUUUACGCAUUUUGCAU